rnacentral:tRNA from 1 species
GCAGUUGUAGUAUAGUUUGGUUAUUAUUCCAGCUUGCCAAGUUGGUGACCCGGGUUCGAAUCCCGGCAACUGCACCA